CUAAUAAUAAAUAACUGUAUAUUAAUUAUAUUUAUUCUUUACAUAAAAGCACAAGUAUUAACUGUGUAAAAAUAUUCCUCUGGUUUUCAUAUACAUAUAUAAUAUGAAGUUAUUUGCAGUGAAUUUAUACAUAUGUUUGUAUGUAUAUAAAUAGAAUUUAAUAUUUAAGACUAGACCCGUAUUCAUAUAAAAUGGCAAUUGUUUAAGAGUUGGUGGGAUAAAUUAAUGUGCUAACAUAGUCAACAUUGUUAAAGCUUAAUUAAUGUAAUCACGCUUUAGCGGUUUCAGUGCAAAAACCGAUGUUAAUAUAAAAUAAUUAUUGAAUUAGUUUUAAGGAACCUGCUACGUGUGUCUGGAUAUACAUAUGUACAUAUAUAUGUGUCGAUCUCCAAGCUUUAGCCAACAUGUCGAAGGCACCGCAACCUUUGGAUGUCCGAUUGCGUAUAUGAGCUAGUUAUCCACUAGUUUUCGUGACAAUGCUGCCGAAAUAGCAAAACUUAGCGCCUUCUUCGAGGGUCGGGCUGGCGAUUUGUAGGACUGGCGUUUCAGUUGUGUUAAUGUACAUAAUUUUUUGUCUUUGUGAUGUUGAUUAUAAGUCCUGAUUGUGCAGCGAAAUCGUUAACACCUUGACGUUUUAAGAAAAUGUUAUCAAGAACUAAUCGCGAUAUAUAUAGAGUUAAAUAUAUCUAAAGGAUUCGGAUGACGAACGAACCGUUUCUAGAUGUCGGUCAAUCUGCCCGCACAACCGAUAACUUAGGUAAAAAUGAUAUAUCUUAAUAAAUCUUGGUACACAUUUGCCAGGACAUUCUGAGGAGGUUGGUAUAGCCAAUAGGCAAAUUCGCACUGUCGCCACGCCCAAAAGAUAUCGAUAAGUAAAAAAUAAUAAAGUGAUAACUAAGUCACAAAAUAUGUUGCAAAACAGUAAUUUGUAAAAGAGAAUCGCGACAGGGGGGGAAUUUGUAUUGUAGUUAAAACUUUGAAGUUUUACAUAGCUUCCAAACUACUAAAGCUACAUAUGAGGUGUAUUCAAAGGUAUAGGUGAGUUUUAGAUUUUUUAUGAAAAGUACUUAUUUGUUCAUUAAUAUCUAUGUUUUCGCCUUCAAAGUAAUGCCCCCUCUGAUAUAAUACACUUGUGCCAACGCUUUUUCCAAUCCUCGAUGCACUUCUGAAAUGCGCUUUUCGGUAUGACCAUCAGCUCCUUCUUCGAUUCUGACAGCAGAAGCAGUUAUGACCCGAUUGAGCAAGCCCGGAUCGUUGUUGACGUCAUUCAACAACUCCUGAGGGAUACUAAUCCCUCUAACAUCCAUCUAACUAAUAGUACAAUACUACUAAUACCUGCUAUUUCCCUAAUAGUGAUUCCACGAUUUUCGAGAACAAUUUUUUUCACUGUCUCGAUGUUUUCUUCGCUUGUUGACGUGGUCGCACCACCAGGAUGCUCAUCGUCAUCAACAUAUUCUCGUCCUUUUGCAAAACGCUUGUACCACUUAUAAACACUUUUUUGAGACAAAGUGGACUCACCGAAUGCCACAGUAGAAAUUUCAAGUGCCUUGGAGCACUUUUUUUUUAAUUUUUAAGGCAAAAUUUAAUACAAAUUUCAUCAAUUUCUUUCAAAAGUUAAAAAUCGAAGAGUACACAAAAACGUGACUAACAAACUACUAAUUGAAAUUGGCUCCUACAUGAUAAAUAUAUGUGCCCGAUUAUAACAAAAACAAAAUAUUGACAAUCGAAUGUACACAGCCCGCGAAAAAUCAAAAUUCACCUUUUCCUUUGAAUACACCUCGUAUGUAUAUCAAGCAGACGAACCAGACUAAAAUCAUUUUCUCCAGCAAUAAUUCUCUAGACUUAAAAGUAAUUCAAUAAAAAAAAUCGUUACCGUAUUCUUUUAUGCUAUUAGUGAUUUCCCUAUCACCUGGUGAAUCGCCGGAAAAUGCCUUCGAGGUCUUUUUGUGGUACUCGUAAGUAUCGCAGAGGUUCAUUUUCCGCUUCUCCUGCUAAGGCAGACACCUUGUCGCGGUGCAGGGGCUUAGUCGUAACGCAAGUCCGAUUUACCCCAUGGGAGUAAAUAUUUUAUGAAGAAUGCUCUAUUAUAUUGCCACAAAUAGCUUGCGGACGACGACCAAGAGCUGCCACCUCCUAAUCCAGGGUGUUAUGCGACUCCCGUGCCCAUUGGAUGAUUUGCAGCCAGGAGAUUAAUUCGGCUGUAUUCUAACGGAGCCUUCCCAACACCUGGCCGCCUUGGGAAGUAACGGUGGCCUUACCGCGUCAUGGGGCUCUGGUGCGGUGGACUUUUAGUUCCCCCUAAGAAAUAAUAGACCAAAAUGCUCAACAUUACGAGCUAAUGGUCGUAAGAACAAGAUGAAUUACAACGAAAACACCAAAAACUCAAACAACAACAACAAAGAUAAUAACAUAAACGACGGGUGCACCCCGUCGGCUACUAAUGAAUCCCGUUUCAUAGACGUCUUUUCAGAAGAAAAACUGUCGCUCUCCGAAGAGCAAGCGAGGGACGACGAUAUGCCCUCCACCAGUGUGUUGGUGGUAGGAACGCCUUGCGAAUUUCCUGCCGCAAGCACGCUUAACGUGAAGAAUGAUAGUGAAGGGAACACCACAAUACCGCCCACUAGCACAACAAUACCUUGCUCGAAAUCGGUAGAAUCACACCAGCCCAUUACUGGGAGGGUAUCUAAGAGGAAGAAAAAGAGGAAAAGGGGAGGAAGGAAGCCUCCUCAACCAGCUUUGGGCUGUCCUGGAGGGCUGAACGAUCCCCGCAGAGUGGGAAUGAGUGGGGCUACCGUCAAGUGGUACCUCAGACACUUGCAAGCGGGAAAAACUCCUGACGAGGCAAAUGAGCUUGCGCUGGGCAGGAACAGUAUAGCAAACCAUAGAGAGUCAACUGCCACUAAUUGUCAACAAGAUUUCAAAAUUGUGCCCGCGGUACAGCAAAUUAUCCCAGUUACCGCAAUUUGGGGCAGUGUACUAGGCGCAUCGGCGACUUAUCAAGACAAAACAGGUCAUGCUGAGAAACGAAAAGGCGAGCAGAUAACUCCAGAGUUGUUACCCAGUCCAAAAAAGCAGAGACAGUAUCUACAUCAACAGACGACGCAGUUGAAAGGCGAACAAAACUCUGCUUCAAAACCUACACAUGCGGUCGAGAAACAGCGCAGAUGUUUGGAGGUUCAAAAAGACAUUCGGAUAGCUGUGCUACCUCUUAACUAUCCUGCGGAAGCAAUGGCGCCCGAACAGCUCACCGCCCUUCAAGAUAAAAUCAUGGACGAGGUGUUGAAGGGGUGGAGGAACGCUCUCUCUUUUUGCGGAGUUUUUUUCAGGUCGGGACUAUUACUUGUCGACUGCAAGAAUGAAGAGACCGCCACUUGGUUGACGGAAGUUGCUCCCAAACUUGAGGGGUGGGAGGGCCCAGUGCUCAGUACGAGAAGAGGGGAAGAGAUACCACAAAUGCACAAAAUGACGGCACUUCUAUACAGGAGCGCCCACAAAUCAGUGGACUUCGCCUUAGGUCUAAUAAAAGCACAAAAUGAGGGCAUCAACACCACGGCCUGGCGAAUAGUUACUAGCGACAUUGAGGGAUCAAGUCGAAAACUCAUCAUCGACAUGGAUGAUGAAUCGUACAAGUAUAUUAAAAAACAAGGAUUCCGCCUGAACUACCGGUUCAGCGCGAUCUCCAUGUGGCCAUUAAAACCAACAUCCAAAGUUGAGAGAGACGAAGUAACCGAAUUUGUGUAAUGGUGGGUGAGAGGCAUUUUCCUCCACUCAGGAGCUCAUGAAGGAGCUAAAUCUCCAAAAACACAUGACAUGGGCGCCUAUUUUAAGAGGAAUCUGUGGACCAGUUCCAUGCGUUAUCGGUCUUUGCAGGCUAAUAUUAUUUUUGUCAAAUGCACCCCAGAAAAAAUAAAGGGGCAAAGCUAUCAUAAAUACUAUUUUUAUUAUUAAAAAUAUGUAUAAUAUAAUAUAAUAUAGUAAGUUUAAGCUUUUGAAAUGACAUUAUCUAGUCUAGGAUUAUUAAAAAUCUCGAAAAUCACACGACUAUUGCAUUGCAAGCACAAGUUUUUUCAAAUUUCGAUCAUGUGACUGCAUAUGAAAGACCAGAACGAAUAAUGCCCAAUAAGCUAGCAUCUCAAAAUUGUCUACUAUUCCCCAAUCAUCCUUGGAGAGUGGCGAAUCGACCACACAAUGAAAUAAAAAAGUUUUUAAUCGCGUUACAUAUACACAUGGAGCGUCAUUUGUUGAUCGUGGAUAUAUUCACUAGUGCUUCGAAGAAUAUUAAAUUAAGGAGGGAAAAGAACAAAGCUAUCGAUGGACCCCAAAUUAAACACUAUCCAAAGAUUUUUUGGAUCUACCAUAGCUAUCUCGAUCUAAGCCAGAAUUGUACAAUUUAGAUGCCUUUAGAUAUUUCAAUUCGAGCAAAUAAUGCUUUGGCAAUACAAUGCUCAUCUAGAGAUGAAGAGGAGGAGGGCGGCGAUAUCGAAAGAACUAGGCCGCUGAUGCACUUGCAAGAAAGAACCAAACUCUUUUUGUGGACUCAGUCAAUAAUCUUGAUAUCUGUUUGGGCUGCUGCGGAAUGCAAUGAAUACUGGACUUUGAUUAUUCGCCGCAAGAGAGCUUUCGUUUGGCGCAAUGAUAUCAACUUAAAGCGAAAACAUUCAAUUCGCUGCGGAAUUCCAAAGCAAUUUCAAUCUCACCGAUGCAACACAUUCAUGGAGUCGUAAUAUAAAGUUAAACGAGAGCGCCACAAACGAAAACAAGCGAAGCGAAAUGAGCAACAAUUGCCCACGACACAAUUUGACUUAGAGAGGUUGUCCAAACUCCGAAACAACUUAUUGCUAGCGGCUAGCGGACUCAAUACAAUCAACAAUCAGUUGCAAUAACGCGUUCAAACGGCUAAGAUCGUUAACCUCAGUGUACUAACUUCUGCAUCGCAGUAAUAUUUUAUUAAAAGAAAAAAGCGGAAAAAAAACAAAGUCAUUAAAAAUGGUGGAAACAGUAGUUACCGUUGAACGCACCACUACCUCACAAACAACUGCACCCAGCGGUGGCGGUGGCCUGAGCGCAUUAAAAAUCAAUAUCGAAUACUUUACGACAGUGCCCGGCAUAUUGAAACUUGUACAAUUCAUACUUGGCAUUAUAUGUAUGGCCUGUGCUUCACCCGCUUACUUUUCGGCCACAUCAUUCUUCCUCUUUGUGGUUGUAAUUUCAUUCAUUGCGACAAUUUUAUGGAUUUUCGCCUAUCUUUUGGGUAUACGUGAAGCUUUGAAUGUCGCUGUCAACUGGAUAUUCACAGAAUUGAUCAACACCGCGAUAUGCGCCCUUCU